UACAGAGGUCUCAAGCGUUGUUCGGAUUCAUUGGGCGUAAAGGGUGCGUAGGCGGCGCGGUAAGUCGGGUGUGAAAUCUCGGAGCUUAACUCCGAAACUGCAUUCGAUACUGCCGUGCUUGAGGACUGGAGAGGAGACUGGAAUUUACGGUGUAGCGGUGAAAUGCGUAGAUAUCGGGAGGAAUACCAGUGGCGAAGGCGGCGACCUGGGCCAAUAUUGACGCUGAGGUGCGAAAGCGUGGGGAGCAAACAGGG
rnacentral:rRNA from 1 species